CAGUAGCCGCGGGAAAACGAAGGGUGCAAACGUUGCUCGGAAUUAUUGGGCGUAAAGCGCACGUAGGCGGCUCCGCAAGUCGGAUGUGAAAUCCCUCGGCUUAACCAAGGAAGUGCAUCCGAAACUGCAGAGCUUGAGUACUUAAGAGGAUCGCGGAAUUCCCGGUGUAGAGGUGAAAUUCGUAGAUAUCGGGAGGAACACCAGUGGCGAAGGCGGCGAUCUGGGAAGAUACUGACGCUGAGGUUCGAAAGCGUGGGGAGCAAACAGGAUUAGAUACCCCUGUAGUCCCUGUCUCUUAUAC
rnacentral:rRNA from 1 species